rnacentral:rRNA from 1 species
ACGGCGAGUGAAGAGGGAUUAGCCCAAAUUUGUAAUCUGGCUCUUUCAGAGUCUGAGUUGUAAUUUUGAGAACUGUUUUCUGCUCUGGACCAUGUACAAGUCUGUUGAAAUGCAGCAUCAUUGAGGGUGAGAAUCCUGUUCAUGAUAUGGACUACCAGAGCUUUAUGAUACAGUCUCUAAGAGUCGAGUUGUUUGGGAAUGCAGCUCAAAGUGGGUGGUAAAUUCCAUCUAAGGCUAAAUAUUGGUGAGAGACCGAUAGCAAACAAGUACCGUGAGGGAAAGAUGAAAAGAACUUUGGAAAGAGAGUUAACAGUACGUGAAAUUGUUAAAAGGGAAACAGUUGAAGUUAGACUUGUUGUUGUCAGUUCAGCCCUUUUAGGGUGUUUUCUGAUGAUGAACAAACCAACAUCAAUUUUUGGGUGUUGGAUAAGGGUCUUGGAAAUGUAGCAGUCUUGGCUGUGUUAUAGUCCUUGACUUGGAUACAAUGCUUGGGAUUGAGGAAUGCAGUAAGC